UACGUAGGGACCGAGCGUUGUCCGGAUUCAUUGGGCGUAAAGAGCUCGUAGGCGGCUGUUCAAGUCGAACGUGAAAACUCGGAGCUCAACUCCGAGCCUGCGUUCGAUACUGGACGGCUAGAGUCUGGUAGGGGGAUCUGGAAUUCCUGGUGUAGCGGUGGAAUGCGCAGAUAUCAGGAGGAACACCAAUAGCGAAGGCAGCUCGCUGGGACGGUACUGACGCUGAGGCGCGAAAGCGUGGGGAGCGAACAGG
rnacentral:rRNA from 1 species